rnacentral:miRNA from 1 species
UGGGCACCUAGGCUAUGUCCA